AGAAAUGUAUAAGCAUCACAUCUACGGGACGUUUCAGAGAUGUGCCAAGGAAUAUGACAUAUUUCAUAUUAUUAAUCAUGGCACUCCCUUCAGGAUGUUGCAUAAAGUUCAUAAACAUAUUUACAUACCAGGAACGGU